rnacentral:lncRNA from 1 species
GUCUGACUUAACUAAGUAAUAGGGCCAAUAACUGUUAGGUGAGGUCUUCAUGACUUAGAGACCAAGUACCACUGCAAUUUGCUUGAGAAGCAUUGCAUAAGAGUUGUACACUCAUCCAUUUAUAUGUCACCAAUAACUGUUAGGUAAGGCGGCAUGUAAAUCGGUGAGACCGCAGUACCCACUAGAAAUCCUAGUCGCGUAAGGUUUUCGUUUCUC